AUCAAAUCGCAAACACGUCCUGGCCUUCUUCCUAGAGUGAUGGCCUCAUGUCCUCCAUUGCAGCCGCCAGCCGCCGCCGUCCCUCCCUCCGUCGCAGCCGCCUGGCACCGCGGCCGCCCCCUCUCCUCCAUCUCAGCCGCCAGAAUCCGCGGCCGACACCUAUCCUCCAUCGCAGCCGCCACCGCCCCUCCCUCCGUCGCAGCCGCUAGCCGCCGCGGCCGCUCGUGCUCCUCCGUCGCAGCCGCCAGACGCCGCCGCCUCCCCUCCCUCCGUUGUCUCCGCCAGCCACCGCCGCCCCCUCCCCCCACCCCCUCCCCUCCGUCACAGGGAUCACCGGGAGAGUCACAGACGAACGGAUCGGCCGGAGUGUCGCUGGGAUCGCCGGGAGAAUUCAGCACCUACCCCCUACAUGACGCGGACGCGUUUCUGGCUCCUCGUUCACGUAGCCUCCUUCGAUCGUCGGACAACAAGCUGCGAGAAGAAGCUCUAUGAUGGGUGCAUUUGAAGUUUGAUCAUGGAGAACACCAGGGAGACAGCGUUCACCCUCGAGAAGAUGGCACUGAACAAGGCUAAGAGGUACCUGGAGGAUGUCCUUGCUCACAAGCAAGCCAUUCCCUUCCAUAGGUACUGCCGUGGUGUUGGAUGUACUGCACAAGCUAAGAACUGCCAGCCAAAUGGUCAUGGACGCUGGCCAGCCAAGUCUGCUCAGUUUGUUCUGGAUCUUCUCAAGAAUGCUGAGAGCAAUGCUGAGGUCUGUGAUCUUACUGUGCCCCCCAAUUGCAGCCUACAUGUCUAACCCGUGCCACAUUGAACUCAUCUUAUCCGAGAAGAGCCACUAAAUAAAGUGGUUGAGUCCGAGAUUGCACCCAGGAAGGCCUAGAGGAAGAAAUCUUGGCUUAAUUGUCCGCUUAUUCGUUAGAGCAGCUUGUAGUAUCUGGUUUUGGCAGAGUGGAAAUUUUUGCCUGUUAUCAUAUGUCAUCGUCUAAAUACUGCUAGAUAAUACUUUGUGAACCAUUGAUGACCCUCCUGUGUACCAGAUCGAAUCUGGUUGUGUUUUGGGAUAUUUUUCA